GAAGAUCUAUUUGCGUCGCUCGUUUGUGGCUUUUUACAUAAGAUACAUACCUACCAUUUUUUUUUUCCCUGAGCAAAGAACACAUCUUUUUGCAAAUUGUCAAUGCAUGAAAAGUGCUGUCUUGAAGCAUUUAAAAUGAAAAUACCGCAGCAUGGAAUUCAUGUAUGCACCAAAGUUAUUUGGGAUUUCUCUUAAUUAAUCAACUGAUUUUAUUUCUGCAAACCAUUAAUGUGCCCAUCAGAGUGUCG